GGAGGGUGCGAGCGUUAAUCGGAAUUACUGGGCGUAAAGAGCACGUAGGCGGCUUGGUCAGUCGGAUGUGAAAGCCCCGGGCUUAACCUGGGAAUUGCACUCGAUACUGCCAGGCUAGAGUUUAAUAGAGGAAUGCGGAAUUCCGGGUGUAGCGGUGAAAUGCGUAGAUAUCCGGAGGAACAUCAGUGGCGAAGGCGGCAUUCUGGGUUAAAACUGACGCUGAGGUGCGAAAGCGUGGGGAGCAAACAGGGAUUAGAUACCCUGGUAGUCCACGCCGUAAACGAUGUCAACUAGCCGUUGGGAUUUUCUUAGUGGCGCAGCUAACGCGAUAAGUUGACCGCCUGGGGAGUACGCCGGCAACGGUA
rnacentral:rRNA from 1 species